UACGUAGGGGGCUAGCGUUGUCCGGAAUCAUUGGGCGUAAAGAGCGUGUAGGCGGCCAGGUAGGUCCGCUGUGAAAACUCGAGGCUCAACCUCGAGAUGUCGGCGGAAACCAUCUGGCUAGAGUCCGGAAGAGGAGAGUGGAAUUCCUGGGUGUAGCGGUGAAAUGCGCAGAUAUCAGGAAGAACACCCGUGGCGAAGGCGGCUCUCUGGGACGGUACUGACGCUGAGACGCGAAAGCGUGGGGAGCGAACAGG
rnacentral:rRNA from 1 species